rnacentral:rRNA from 1 species
CGGCGGACGGGUGAGUAACACGUGGGUAACCUACCUAUAAGACUGGGACAACUUCGGGAAACCGGAGCUAAUACCGGAUAAGAUAUCGAACCGCAUGGUUCGAUAGUGAAAGAUGGUUUUGCUAUCACUUAUAGAUGGACCCGCGCCGUAUUAGCUAGUUGGUGAGGUAACGGCUCACCAAGGCAACGAUACGUAGCCGACCUGAGAGGGUGAUCGGCCACACUGGGAACUGAGACGCGGUCCAGACUCCUACGGGAGGCAGCAGUG